CACCCCUCAAGCGUAGCUUGGUCUUGGGUCCUCGCCGCCUGGCGAGCCCGAAAAGCAGUGGCGGUCCGGUGCGACUUUAAGCGUAGUAAACUUAUCCCCGCUUUGAAAGCUGUCUCCGGGUCCGACCAGAUAACCCUAUCACUUCGUUA
rnacentral:misc_RNA from 1 species